GACGAACGCUGGCGGCGUGCUUAACACAUGCAAGUCGAACGGAAAGGCCCUGCUUUUGUGGGGUGCUCGAGUGGCGAACGGGUGCGUAACACGUGGGUAACCUGCCCUUGACUUUGGGAUAACUUCAGGAAACUGGGGCUACUACCGGAUAGGAGCUCCUGCUGCAUGGUGGGGGUUGGAAAGUUUCGGCGGUUGGGGAUGGACUCGCGGCUUAUCAGCUUGUUGGUGGGGUAGUGGCUUACCAAGGCUUUGACGGGUCGCCGGCCUGAGAGGGUGACCGGCCACAUGGGGACUGAGAUACGGCCCAGACGCCUACGGGAGGCAGCAGUGGGGAAUAUGGCACAAUGGGCGGAAGCCUGAUGCAGCAACGCCGCGGGCGGGAUGACGGCCUGCGGGUUGUAAACCGCUUUCGCCUGUGACGAAGCGUGAGUGACGGUAAUGGGUAAAGAAGCACCGGCUAACUACGUG
rnacentral:rRNA from 1 species